AUCGAACAAGUUUCUAUUUAUUACAUAAUAUGUCUCAAAUUAGAUAUUUUUUGUACGCUUUGGUCAUGUUUCAUUUUCUAUUACUUGUGUCGACAAAUAGUAGUAAGUCAUUUUUCACAGUAUUUUCAAUUUAUCUUAUAUAAACUUUUAUCAGCUUUUAGACAUAUUUAUUUUUCUCUUGUUAGAUGCUGCAGGUUUAAUUCCAUGCAGAUUACCCUCUGAUUGUCCAGAAAAUAUGUGUGACCCCCCUCUAACUCGGUGGUGUGUUGAUCGCUAUUGUGAGUGUGUGUAAAUGUAAAAAAUUAAAGAAAUAAUUAUUUAUUAUUGUGAGUGUAUACCUUCUUUUAAUUUUCAAUUUACUAUACAAACUCAAAUGCAGAUUGUUAUAUUAUACAAAUAUUAUACCUUCAUUCAUUAAUAGAAUAUAUUGAACAAAAUAAUGUCGUUCCAUUACAAUAUUUAGCUACUUUAAUAAAUAAAAUAUAUAAUAUAAUAUUGUCACAAUCAACUAUUUAUUCUUCUUUAAUAUUUAGCAUAGUAUUGAUUAUUAAUGA
rnacentral:lncRNA from 1 species